rnacentral:rRNA from 1 species
GCAAGUCGAGGGGCAGCGAAUCCAGCUUGCUGGAUGUCGGCGACUGGCGCACGGGUGCGGAACGCGUAUGGAACCUGCCUUUGUCAGGGGAAUAGCCUUUGGAAAGAAGAUUAAUGCCCCAUGGUACCUUUAUGUCACAUGACAUUUUGGUUAAAGAUUCAUCGGACGAAGAUGGCCAUGCGUACCAUUAGCUAGUUGGUGAGGUAACGGCUUACCAAGACAGCGACGGUUAGGGGCCCUGAGAGGGGGAUC